UAUAUUUUCAGCAGUUUUAAGCUUGGUGUAUUCACAUAAGCAAUGACUAAAAGUGAGGUGUCUAGCUUUAAAAAAAAAAAAAAAGCAAACACGUUGAAAGAAACAUUUCUUUCCCAAAUGAACAAGAAUUUAACUCCAAGAACACCACUAAUUGUUAAGGGUGAUGCUUUCGAGCUUGCAACUUGGUCCUUUUCCUCUUAUUAACAAAUCAUAAUACAGAACUCGGUGUGCUGGAGAAGGUUGUCGAUUAUUAGAGUUAACAUAUGUGUAGGAAUGUCUGCUAAACGGAUGCUUAUAGGACUUGAAAAAAGCUGCUACUUUUUAGAAGACUCAUGAUUUGAAAGUCAACAUCCAUGGAAGAUCCACUCCUUUGCUUUUAAACUUCAGUGACCACAGCCACGUACUACCAAAAGAUGAUUCAUGUUUUCAGUCUCAAACAACUUAAGGGUAAUGGAGCAGAGAAGUACAAAGGAACUGGAGACUAAAUACAACCUAAAGCCAUGUAGGAUGUAAGACAAGUGCAAGGUGAAAUUCAGAAAAAAAAUGAGAAAGAGGAAGUAAAGCUCAAUGGGGAGAACUGGGAGAAGAUCUCGGCAAGGAACUUCAGCCUAUUUGCUCUGUCCUUUACCACUGGUGUUCGCACAGACCUGUGUGAUUAGCUCACAACGUCAUUCAGUCUGGCUACUAUGCCAGUAACAGAGUGAGGCAAGAAUCCCUGAAUUGCACCUAGUCAUCUCUGAUUUUAGGCUUUGUCCACAAAAAGCAUUCCACGGAACAAAACCCAUCACUGCAAAUCUGAAUGUUUAUAAGAGACUGAAAAAGCAGCAAAUGGCUAGCUAUGAAUUUGAUGCACAGUCCUCUUUAAGGAAGACGAUCAUCACUGAAAUAUCCCUGGCACCUCUGAGAAACAGACCUAUUGGUAAGUAUCUGGUAAGCACAGAGGAGAGCACGAAGUCCAGAUCAAGAUGACAAUGUCAGCGAAAAGAACUUGACUACUUCUUUGCUAUGGCCCUGCCUCCUGAAGGGCCAAUAAUAGGGCUUGUGAGGAAAAGAAGGAGGAAAUAAAGUGUGCACUAGGAAAAUCUCUAACUUUAAAAAGAGUACAGAAGUUCAAUUAUGAAGACUGAGUUUUUUUAUUGCUAUAUAGAAACCUAUCUGUGAGCUCUGUGCAACCAGCUUCUGCAUUCCCUGAUAGAGACAACAUACAUCAUGGGAUCAGUGCACUUUCCAAUCAAUGGACAAAAGAAAAAAUAAGUCCAGAGUUUAGAUUUCAAAGUAUCACAUAUGAGAUGAGUUAUAAAGAGUUAGACUUAUUUACUCCUACAGAUUGUUCUUGUUCAAAACAAACCUUAUACUAUAAACUAUGAAAGAUAAAUCAUGAGUGAAAGGUGGCUACUAAAUACAUAAAGCUAAGUCACGAUUUAGCUACUGCCGAAGCAUACCAUGAUAAUUAAUGAGAAGAAUAAAUUUUAUUUGUAAGUGCAUAUAAACACAGAAAACAACUGCACUUUUACUCAAGAGGAUAAUUAAAGUGAAAACAAGAGGAAGCCUAUUAUGAGCUUUUAUUUACAGCUCUUCAUGGUGCCCUUUCAGUUGUUGCUUAAUUUUAGCAACUCUAUUCCUUUCCGUGCAAACAUUUUAAUUCCAGCAAUGUUUCAUAAUCUAACCUGUAAAAUCACAUUAAGAUAAUGCAUGAUUAAACUGUAUCUUCACUUUUUUUACACUCAUUAUACACAAUAGAAUAGACUCCCAAGAAAUAAGGAAUUAUCACAUUAUGUAUUGUGUCCAUUUAUUUGUGGAACUGGAGCAUGAAAUAAACUCUUUAUCUCAUUAA